AAGUCGUAACAAGGUUUCCGUAGGUGAACCUGCGGAAGGAUCAUUAACGAGUUUUGAAGUGGGUUUGAUGCUGGCCUUCCCAGGCAUGUGCUCGCCCUGCUCUCAUCCACUCACACCUGUGCACCUAUAAAUGUCAGAAGAUUCAUCCCCUAGACUCUUAGGGGUGUAGUUCGAGCUAGCUUGGACUAUUGGGUUGUCUCUUUUGCGUUUACCCUUUAUAAACUCUUGAAUGUAAUAGAAUGUCCAUGGCCUACGGGCUUUUAUAAAUGAAAUACAACUUUCAACAACGGAUCUCUUGGCUCUC
rnacentral:misc_RNA from 1 species